rnacentral:rRNA from 1 species
AAAUUGAAGAGUUUGAUCAUGGCUCAGAUUGAACGCUGGCGGCAGGCCUAACACAUGCAAGUCGAACGGUAACAGGAAGCAGCUUGCUGUUUCGCUGACGAGUGGCGGACGGGUGAGUAAUGUCUGGGAAACUGCCUGAUGGAGGGGGAUAACUACUGGAAACGGUAGCU